AUCGCUUCUCGGCCUUUUGGCUAAGAUUAAGUGUAGUAAAAAUGUUCUAUAGAUACUAAUAUAAAAUAGACAUUUUAAGUUAAAAAUAUAAUUGUAUGUGUAGUUACAUGUACUUAGGCAGGAGGGAUAGGUCGGUAUAAUACAGAAUGUACACCACUGUAAAUGUACAACUGCAA
ensembl:snRNA U2 U2 spliceosomal RNA